rnacentral:rRNA from 1 species
GAUGAACGCUAGCGGCAGGCCUAACACAUGCAAGUCGAGGGGGAGGUUAUCUUCGGGUAACCAAAACCGGCGCACGGGUGCGUAACGCGUAUACAAUCUGCCUUUCACAUAGGGAUAGCCCGAAGAAAUUUGGAUUAAUACCUAAUGGUAUAUAAGAGCGGCAUCGUUUUUAUAUUAAAGCUACGGUGGUGAAAGAUGAGUAUGCGUUCUAUUAGCUAGUUGGAGAGGUAACGGCUCCCCAAGGCGACGAUAGAUAGGGGUUCUGAGAGGGAUGUCCCCCACACUGGUACUGAGAUACGGACCAGACUCCUACGGGAGGCAGCAGUGAGGAAUAUUGGACAAUGGUCGGAAGACUGAUCCAGCCAUGCCGCGUGCAGGAUGAAGGUCCUAUGGAUUGUAAACUGCUUUUGUAAGGGAAGAAUAAGGAGUACGUGUACUUUGAUGACGGUACCUUACGAAUAAGCAUCGGCUAACUCCGUGCCAGCAGCCGCGGUAAUACGGAGGAUGCGAGCGUUAUCCGGAAUCAUUGGGUUUAAAGGGUCCGUAGGCGGGCUGAUAAGUCAGAGGUGAAAGCGCUUAGCUCAACUAAGCAACUGCCUUUGAAACUGUCAGUCUUGAAUGAUUGUGAAGUAGUUGGAAUGUGUAGUGUAGCGGUGAAAUGCUUAGAUAUUACACAGAACACCGAUAGCGAAGCAUAUUACUAACAAUUUAUUGACGCUGAUGGACGAAAGCGUGGGGGGCGAACAGG